rnacentral:rRNA from 1 species
GACGAACGCUGGCGGCGUGCUUAACACAUGCAAGUCGAACGCUGAAGCUCAGCUUUUGUUGGGUGGAUGAGUGGCGAACGGGUGAGUAACACGUGAGUAACCUGCCCCCUUCUUUGGGAUAACGCCCGGAAACGGGUGCUAAUACUGGAUAUUCACUGGUCUUCGCAUGGGGGUUGGUGGAAAGGGUUUUUCUGGUGGGGGAUGGGCUCGCGGCCUAUCAGCUUGUUGGUGGGGUGAUGGCCUACCAAGGCUUUGACGGGUAGCCGGCCUGAGAGGGUGACCGGUAAGAUUGGGACUGGGAUACGGACCAGACUCCUACGGGAGGCAGCAGUGGGGAAUAUUGCACAAGGGGCACAAGCAUGAUGCAGCGAAGCCGCGUGAGGGAUGGAGGUCUUCGGGUUGUGAACCUCUUUCGCUAAUGGUCAAGCCGCAACAAUGGUUGUGGUGAGGGUAGUGGGUAAAGAAGCGCCGGCUAACUACGUG